GCUGCGGUAGCUCAGUGGUAGAGCGGAGGAUUGCAGUUAACUAUACAUACUAUCCUCAGGUCCUGUGUUCAAUCCACAGUCGCAGCU
rnacentral:tRNA from 1 species